rnacentral:rRNA from 1 species
CCUACGGGAGGCAGCAGUGAGGAAUAUUGGUCAAUGGGCGGGAGCCUGAACCAGCCAAGCCGCGUGAGGGAAGAAGGUACAGCGUAUCGUAAACCUCUUUUGUCAGGGAACAAAGGCGGGGACUAGUCCCCGGAUGAGGGUACCUGAAGAAAAAGCAUCGGCUAACUCCGUGCCAGCAGCCGCGGUAAUACGGAGGAUGCGAGCGUUAUCCGGAUUUACUGGGUGUAAAGGGAGCGUAGACGGCAGAGCAAGUCUGAAGUGAAAGCCCGCGGCCCAACUGCGGGACUGCUUUGGAAACUGCCCGGCUAGAGUGCUGGAGAGGUAAGCGGAAUUCCUAGUGUAGCGGUGAAAUGCGUAGAUAUUAGGAGGAACACCAGUGGCGAAGGCGGCUUACUGGACAGUAACUGACGUUGAGGCUCGAAAGCGUGGGGAGCAAACAGGAUUAGAUACCCUGGUAGUC